GAUGAACGCUGGCGGCGUGCCUAAUACAUGCAAGUCGAGCGAACAGACGAGGAGCUUGCUCCUCUGACGUUAGCGGCGGACGGGUGAGUAACACGUGGAUAACCUACCUAUAAGACUGGGAUAACUUCGGGAAACCGGAGCUAAUACCGGAUAAUAUAUUGAACCGCAUGGUUCAAUAGUGAAAGACGGUGUUGCUGUCACUUAUAGAUGGAUCCGCGCCGCAUUAGCUAGUUGGUAAGGUAACGGCUUACCAAGGCAACGAUGCGUAGCCGACCUGAGAGGGUGAUCGGCGACAUUGGAACUGAGCCGCGGUCCAGACUCCUACGGGAGGCAGCAGUAGGGAAUCUUCCGCAAUGGGCGAAAGCCUGACGGAGCAACGCCGCGUGAGUGAUGAAGGUCUUCGGAUCGUAAAACUCUGUUAUUAGGGAAGAACAAAUGUGUAAGUAACCGUGCACGUCUUGACGGUACCUAAUCAGAAAGCCACGGCUAACUACGUG
rnacentral:rRNA from 1 species